rnacentral:rRNA from 1 species
GUUAAGCGACUAAGCGUACACGGUGGAUGCCCUGGCAGUCAGAGGCGAUGAAGGACGUGCUAAUCUGCGAUAAGCGUCGGUAAGGUGAUAUGAACCGUUAUAACCGGCGAUUUCCGAAUGGGGAAACCCAGUGUGUUUCGACACACUAUCAUUAACUGAAUCCAUAGGUUAAUGAGGCGAACCGGGGGAACUGAAACAUCUAAGUACCCCGAGGAAAAGAAAUCAACCGAGAUUCCCCCAGUAGCGGCGAGCGAACGGGGAGCAGCCCAGAGCCUGAAUCAGUAUGUGUGUUAGUGGAAGCGUCUGGAAAGGCGCGCGAUACAGGGUGACAGCCCCGUACACAAAAAUGCACAUGCUGUGAGCUCGAUGAGUAGGGCGGGACACGUGGUAUCCUGUCUGAAUAUGGGGGGACCAUCCUCCAAGGCUAAAUACUCCUGACUGACCGAUAGUGAACCAGUACCGUGAGGGAAAGGCGAAAAGAACCCCGGCGAGGGGAGUGAAAAAGAACCUGAAACCGUGUACGUACAAGCAGUGGGAGCACAGAGCAAUC